AUGAACAUUUAUUUUUGUAUAUUUCUCGAGCAUUUUGAUUUCCUCUGCUUCUCCAACAUUUUGACUUCCUCAGUUACUAAUGUUGUGGAAAUAACUUGCAUUUUUUUACUCAGGAAUGUUGUCAAUUGGAGAAGAAUGUGCAAUCUAAUCAUAUUACCUGGUUAUAGUGUAUGUUUGGAAUUUAAAUUAGGAGACCUAGUUUUAUGCAUAAUAUGGAAUUUAAAUUAG